UGCCCAUUUGCAAAACAAAAAUACUAAUAAUCAGUAAUAGUCCUAGAAAAGAUGUUAAUUCUGUUUAGUCAUUGACUGAUAUUGCGCUAACCUUGAAAUUGUAUGAUUAUUGACCUCUGUUGCAUUUAUUCUAAAGCCCCCCAAAAAUUAUCUAGCCGUUUCGAAUAUCAACAAAUUGCUUGUUCUUGAGAACUUUCCCAUCAAGAAUUUAGUAGAAGCAGGUAUACUUCUAUCAUUUUGAUGUUUUUGUUAAUGUUUCCAAACAAUGUACUUUGAAAUCAGAAUCACUUCUUAUCACUAUCGUGUAGGGA
rnacentral:lncRNA from 1 species